GACGAACGCUGGCGGCGUGCUUAACACAUGCAAGUCGAACGGAAAGGCCUCUUUCUGGGGGUACUCGAGUGGCGAACGGGUGAGUAACACGUGAGUAACCUGCCCUUGACUUUGGGAUAACUUCAGGAAACUGGGGCUAAUACCGGAUAGGAGCUCCUGCUGCAUGGUGGGGGUUGGAAAGUUUCGGCGGUUGGGGAUGGACUCUCGGCUUAUCAGCUUGUUGGUGGGGUAUUGGCUUACCAAGGCUUUGACGGGUAGCCGGGCUGAGAGGGUGACCGGCCACAUUGGGACCGAGGGAAGGCCCAGAAUCCUAAGGGGGGGAGAAGGGGGGAAUAUUGCACAAUGGGUGGAAGCCGGAUGCAGCAACGCCGUGUGCGGGAUGACGGCCUUCGGGUUGGAAACCGCUUUCGCUCAUGACGAAGCUUUGUGUGACGGUAGUGGGUAAAGAAGCACCGGCUAACUACGUG
rnacentral:rRNA from 1 species